CUGGAGGAUGUCUCCAUAGCAACUAAAGCCAUCACCGCCAAAAUGAGGGGGGCAUGUGCAAACCCGCUGGCCUCCCCCAACUGCCCGGCAAGUAGCCUGGUAGGGGAGAUCUGCCCAUACCUCAGAUGAGCUCUUGCUAUCUUGCCCUUGGAGAUCUGUGCUCCGGAGCCCCAAGGGGAAACCAGCUCUCAGGGUAAGGCUGGUCAAGAGAUGGCCCUGACUGGAAGCUUCCAUGGAGACUCAGCACCACCCUGUACUCAGAGCCCUGUCAAGGCCUUUGGCUCGAGGCUCUUGUUACACAGCCCAGGCUGGUCUUGAAUGUGAGAGCCCCGCUUCUGCCUCCUGAGUGCUCCCCAGCUCCUGGAUGGGGUUCAGAUUUCAGUCUGAUUUAUUGACAACACUCCACAGACUGCUGGCCCAGAGGCCGUCACAGAAUUGAGAGGACAGGGCCAGGAAGAGGGUGACUCUGAACCAGUCAACCUAGCCUCCUAUUGGUACCAUAGAUAUUCUUCUAAAAUAUGUAUGUAUACAAAAUUGUUUUAUGUCUAUGGGUGUUUUACCUACAUGUGUGUGUAUACCAUGUGCAUUCCUGACCAUCAUAAAUCAUCAUAUUCAUAAAUUACUCAUCACCAUCAUAAAUUAUGUAACCCCUCAAUCUUACAGAUUCUUACUUCUAAAACUCCUGUGGAGGCCUGAAAAGGACUCUGGAUUCCCAGAGACUAGAGUUACAGACCAUUGUGAGCUGCCAUGUGGGUGCUGGGAACCAAACCUGGGUUCUUAGAGCAGCCAGAACUCUUAACUGUUAAGCCAUCUCUCCAGCCCUGAUUUAUUUAUGCUUAAUUUUUAUAUAUGGGUUUUUGCCUGCAUUAUGUCUGUGCACUACAUGCAUGCAAUGUCUUCAGGGGCCAGAUGAAGGCAUUGGAUCCUCUGGAACUGGAGUUACACAGUUGUGAGCUGCCACGUGGAUAUUAGAACCUAACCCAGAUCCUCUGCAAGAGCGCCAAGUGCUCUUAACCACAGAGCCAUCUCUCCAGCCCCACCUUAGAUGUUUUUUUGUUUUGAAACAGGGUCUAUUCUGUAUCUCUGACUGUUCUGGAAUUCACUAUGCAUACCAAGCUGGCCUCAAACUCAUAGAGGUCUGUCUCCCUCUGCCCCCUGAAUCCUGGGAUUAAAGGCAUGUGCCACCGUG